rnacentral:tRNA from 1 species
GGCUCGGUAGCUUAGUUGGUAAGGCACUUGUCUGGCAUACAAGAGACGUGCUCCGAACUU